AAUAAACAUUUUAUAAUAUUUAGUUAAAGUACUUUCAUGUUCAUAAUGUUUUAUGAACUUGCUGUUCACGUACCCUAUAGAUGACAUCACUUCCUCCCACUUGUGCCUGUAUUUCAUCAUAGCAGAAGCACUCACUUUAUUACAAAGAGCUGACACGAUGAACACUUUCCUUAUCAGAUCUGCAUGUCUGUUGUGGCUAACAGGUAAUAGUAAAAAAUAUGUUGCGCAAAUGAUGAUUAACUGUGAUGUAAAAGUUGAUAAUUUUAUUUCAGACAUUGCUAAUCACUACAAACAAUGUUAUCUUUCUUUAUGGACAGUGGCAAAUCAUGCAAAAAUUGUUCUCCAGAGACCUGAUGACCUCAUAAAGAACCAAAAUGAAUUUGCUGUUAUCAUCUGUUCUCACAAUAUACAGCGCUAUGACCAAAUGCUGUGGUACAAACAGAGUCAGGACAUGCCUGGACUCAAGUUGAUGGGAUACCUUUAUGUUGGUGAAAAUAUAGAGCCUGAAUUUAAAGACAAGAUCAAAUUGGUGGGAAAUGCAAAGAGAAAUGGCACUCUGACUAUCAACAACCUCACACCACAAGACAGCGCAGUGUAUUUCUGUGCAGCAUGUUACACAGUGAUAUAGAUAAUGAAACCUUAAUACAAAAAGCUCUCUAGUCUGUGCCUCUGCAUCAGCUCUGCCUCACCUGCGAAGGGCUCAGGGUUUGAUUUGCUGCCAACAUUGAGGUGAAUUAUCUCGUUAAAUAACAUGUACACAAAUGUCUAAGAGUGUUUGAGGAAUCCCACAUGAGAACAGAACAAUCCCACCACAUUUUGACCUCAUAGUAAGCUAAAUUUAUACACAAGUUAUAUACUUAGCAUCCUAGGGCAGCAGAGGGAGUUCUUUGGUAAUGCUAAAUCUGGACAGCAUUGAAAAAUAUACAUAAUUUAGCGAUUUUAAAAUGAAUGCAGUUUUAAAGAAUUAAUAUACAUAAUACAUAUUGGCUUGGAUGAUAAAAAGAGAAAACCAUUACUCGUUAUUAUGAUUUUCUCUUUUUUGUGUAACUCACUAAUUUGUUGUCAGUGCCCCCAGAGAUGACAUCAUUUCCUACUAGAACUGCCUUCUUGCAUUUAUUUCACAACACUGUCACCAAAAGCAAAGAUGACUAGCAUUAUUACAAGUGUUUGUGUUUCUCUAGCAUGCCUCACAGGUAACCAUAUGUCAUAGACUUUUGUUUAUGUUUAUGAAUGUUUAUUAUAUGUAUAUGUUUUACACUGAUUGUCAUUGUAUAUGUGUAUUUUCUCUCAUUACAGUUGUAUUUGGUAAAACUGCUUUCCAGUCACCUGGUGACCUCAUUAAGAACCAGGAGGAAUCUGCUGUGAUCAUAUGCACACACAAUUUAUCAAACUAUGACCGUAUUCUUUGAUGAAAAAAGGCCAUCAUGGGCUUCAAGUUCAUGGGGUUUCUUAAUCUCAUAUAUGACAACCCUGAGUUGGAAUUUAAAAACAAGAUCAAACUUGAUGGAGUAAUGUGUGAGUAAUGAUUAAUUAAAGUAAUGUGUUUGUUACAUUAAUAAGAUAUAAAGAGCGCUGGUCACUUUAAGAGUUUGGAAUAAGCAAUGACGUAGUUCAGUGAUGUAAGUGUUCAGUUUAUGCAGUUCAGUAAAGCUGACGAGAACAAUAAAAAGUAAAAUAAGUUCA
ensembl:lncRNA